GACGAACGCUGGCGGCGUGCUUAACACAUGCAAGUCGAACGGAAAGGCCCUGCUUUUGUGGGGUGCUCGAGUGGCGAACGGGUGAGUAACACGUGAGUAACCUGCCCUUGACUUUGGGAUAACUUCAGGAAACUGGGGCUAAUACCGGAUAGGAGCUCCUGCUGCAUGGUGGGGGUGGGAAAGUUUCGGCGGUUGGGGAUGGACUCGCGGCUUAUCAGCUUGUUGGUGGGGUAGUGGCUUACCAAGGCUUUGACGGGUAGCCGGCCUGAGAGGGUGACCGGCCACAUUGGGACUGAGAUACGGCCCAGACUCCUACGGGAGGCAGCAGUGGGGAAUAUUGCACAAUGGGCGGAAGCCUGAUGCAGCAACGCCGCGUGCGGGAUGACGGCCUUCGGGUUGUAAACCGCUUUCGCCUGUGACGAAGCGUGAGUGACGGUAAUGGGUAAAGAAGCACCGGCUAACUACGU
rnacentral:rRNA from 1 species